AUUGAACGCUGGCGGCAGGCUUAACACAUGCAAGUCGAGCGGGGUGAUGGUGCUUGCACUAUCACUUAGCGGCGGACGGGUGAGUAAUGCUUAGGAAUCUGCCUAUUAGUGGGGGACAACAUCUCGAAAGGGAUGCUAAUACCGCAUACGUCCUACGGGAGAAAGCAGGGGAUCACUUGUGACCUUGCGCUAAUAGAUGAGCCUAAGUCGGAUUAGCUAGUUGGUGGGGUAAAGGCCUACCAAGGCGACGAUCUGUAGCGGGUCUGAGAGGAUGAUCCGCCACACUGGGACUGAGACACGGCCCAGACUCCGACGGGAGGCAGCAGUGGGGAAUAUUGGACAAUGGGGGGAACCCUGAUCCAGCCAUGCCGCGUGUGAAGUAGGCCUUAUGGUUGUAAAGCACUUUAAGCGAGGAGGAGGCUCUUUUGGUUAAUACCCAAGAUGAGUGGACGUUACUCGCAGAAUAAGCACCGGCUAACUCUGUGCCAGCCGCCGCGGUAA
rnacentral:rRNA from 1 species